ACUACAGCCACGGAUACCCGCAGGUUACGGUCUGACAGAACGGAGUCGGGAAGCUCCAGGGCCCAGGGGGAUGCUGAUGCUCCAGUGAUGCCAAGCCCAUUGGACAGGGAAGCCAGGACGUCAGCCAGGAAGCCCUGAGUGCAGGUGACCAUGGAAGCCUUAGACCUCAUGCUAGAGGAGAGAGCAAGGGGUUCUCCAGAUUCUGUCCUUUCCCAAGAAAAGAGGUUGAUACAGAAGGAUGGAAUCACUUCUGGUUUCCUUAGAGCCAGAUCCCUGGAAUCAGUGACGUUCCAGGAUGUGGCUGUGAACUUUACCCAUGAGGAGUGGGGGCACUUGCAGCCGACCCAGAAGGACCUGUAUAGGGAGGUGAUGCUGGAGAAUUAUCAGCAUUUUGUCU